UUGCCCCCCUGAUCAGCCCAUGGUAAUGAGCAUCUCAUAUUACCUAGGAAGGUAAUAACUAAGGACUUAAUGAGCUUGCUAUUCUGUCGAUCAAAAUUUCUCAGCCAAUUCGUUACCGCGUUGGCGCAGUGCCUGCACGAAUUCAUACAGGUCUAGAUUUUCCAAAUUCCUUAUUGAGUUGGCCGUUCGUGAUGAAUGUAUUGCACAGAUUCUAACUCUGAAGGGAAUUUUUACUACUUAAAAAAACACGUAGUAUUUACUGAAGCCUUCCUGUACCUUCAGAAGUUCCGCCGUAGCUCCACACCUACUCAUCCCCACGCCCCAGCUCUGCACUCGCGUCCCCUCCAAAUUGCCAUGACCCCUCAGCACGUCGCGCGCCGCGCCCUCCCUAUUUCCGAUCGGAUCGUCGGUCGCGCUGCGCAGUCUCUCGCUGCUCAUCUCCGUAGCACCAGCAUCGAUCACGGCCACCGGCUGCUCGUCUCCUCUUGCUCCACUCCCGCACCACGGGCAAGGCCGGCUCUGAGCACUCCUCACACCGGCCAAGUUCAUUCAGCCUAGCCGUCCGCGCCGCCGCCCCUCUGAUUUCCCGGUCGUAGGAUGGACGAUUUGAGCUGUGAGGGUUUGCUAUUCUCGGCGUUGCUCUUGUGAAUAUCUCAGAGUUUCCUCGCGCUGCUGAACUUGAUCCGCCUGUCCUUGCAAGAACAAGUCAUGAACAAAAAGGAAUAUCGGAGAAAUAGCAAAGAUGAGAAUAAGUGAAGAAUUAUGAGGGCCUUCACAUAGAUUAGCUCUGAGCUGGCACGUUCGGAUGGAGAUCGUGCUCGACAUGGUGAGAUUCUUAUGAUCUUACCCAUGCCCUUUCCUUCACAAUGAAUGAACGAGUGAUAAUUUUUAAAUUGAAUUCCGAUGAUUGGUUUGUUGUAACAUCCAUUGGUAAAUUAGAAUUGGACAGGGGAUUGGAGUAUCUUCGUGAGGACUGCCCUCCAGUGAUCAUAGGGGUCUGAAAUUAUCCGACAUACUUUUAAAUUCAGACUUUGAUGCUAAGGUAAUUGCUUCCCCUUUUCUUUGAGGUUAGUUUAUUUAUUCAUCUUGAUGCAGUUCACAGUGUUGGAAAUCGGUAAAAGUACAACAUCGUAGCUUCACCUCUUUUUAUUUUACUUCAGCUAUAAGUAAUCUCAUUUGCUACAAAUGUUUAGUACUUCAGUACACCAUGGUCAUUUUCCUUUGAUGUGCAGCAAAAUGGCCCAAGAUGUAUGACCGAGCAGAGUUUUUACAUCCCCCCUGGCAUCACUGGAUAACUACUCAUCUUUAAGAUUGUAUAUUAGUACAACGUUACAAGUCUACUGGUUUAAUUCGGUGAAGCGAGAACUGUUACUUUGUAUGGUUUCCCUCUUCGAUCUUUGGAAGCCCCCAUCUUCCUUAAUUGACUAUGUAUUCAUCAUUCGGUUUGAGCUUAGAAUUUUUUUUUGAUCUUUUGUAUGUCGAUAUAGAAACCCUUCUCGCCUAGUGUAUAUGAAAAAUAUAAAUCUACAUUGUCAAUUAAUGUGAUUCAUUGAUU